UACCCCUGGUCACGCCCCCUUGUUUAGCCCUUGUCGGCUUGAUUGUUUUCACCUGAUCCUCAUGUGGACUGCUCUAUAUAUUGGAUUCCCUUUCAUUGUGUCUCUGCUGGUUUGAUUUUGGUGUUUACCUGUUUCUUGGGCUGGAAUUGAUCCUAAUCUAGUUUUUUUCUUUUUCAGUUAGUUUUUCAUUUAUUCUAUUUGAGAUUGCAGUUCCUUUUUGGAUCCUGGCUUUUAGUUUUUAAACUCUGACUUAUUUCUUUGGAUAGUUUUGGUUAUUUAUUUUGCUUUUAGCUCACUCUUUGUUUUCAAUUGUCUGUCGUUUUGAGUCUUGCUUGUUUUUGUGUAUUGUCCUGUCUUGCCCGCACUCAGAUUUCCUGGCCACUGAACCCCACUGCCUGGAAGCAGCUCACCUCUCUCACGUGUCAAGUCUCCCCAUGCAGGUCUUGCUCUUGUGGUUUUGGAGCAUUUCCAUUCAUCAGAGUGGAUGCAGUUCAUUCAAAGCAGAGGAAUUGAGGAUGGUGCUUUUGGACAGAAUUUUGUUUAUGAAGCUUAUUAUUUCUCUGUGGAAUCAUUAGGCAUUUGGGCUCCAUUUGUCACCCUGAUUAAAGAGAGAAAACCCAUCAUGUGUGAGUGAGCCGGGGCCUUUAUGUCCUGCGGUGAUUCUGACUCUCAGGGUACUGAAGGAGCACAGGCCUGUUCCCUCCUCGAAUCAGGCUCAAGUCAUUAGGGGACUUCCAGAAUGUUCUCUAUUCUGUUGAGCAUGUAAAAAAAUGUGAAUGAUGUGAAUGACACUUACAACUGAUGUAAGAAGUCAACUUGGUCCUGACCUCUCAUUCCGACCGAAACAAGCAUAAAUGUGCUCAUCAUACCCACUUUACCUUUUCUGCCUUGGGUCCGUUGCCAUUAGAAUGACUAUUGAUUCAUUGUGACAGAAACCACUGUGGUCUGUUUUAGGGUGAUUGGUGGAACUUCAGCUGAAGGAUUCAUUGGGAAAUGGCCCUUAUUUAAAUUGCAUCAGGUAUUCCACUUCUAACCAGGUACAAAACCAACAGUGAUGGAAAUUACCUGAACUCUACGCUUGCCCAGUCAAAAUGACAAUAGUUUGAGAAGACAUGGCUUGACAGUGUGCCAUUUAAAAGUCAGAAAACUCACAAGUCGUGUGGUAAGUAAUUGCAGAUGAUUGAAUGUUAGGAAAUGACAAUAUUCUCCAUAUUCCCCACUGGUGUAAUGAGUUUUCUGCACCAGCAUCCACCCAACAUCUGCUGCCCCAGGAAAACGCCAAUCAGACUCAAUUACAUACUCACAUUAUAUCAGUCUCUUUGACUCAUCUGAACACAACUGCAGGAAGCACACAAACUCAAACACCUGCGUAUGAUGCAUUCAUUGAUGACUUGCCUGAUUAUUCACGGAUGCUGUAAAUAGGAGAUGGUUGGACAGAUGGAAUAAUCACAACAACAAAAAAUGGAUAUAACUGGAUAAAGAUUUUUUUUUUUUUUUUUAAAAGAAUGGUACUUGCAUGUUCAAAACUUGCUGGCAGGAUGCCAAGUCAGUUAGCAGAGUCAUGCUACGAGGUUGUGAAGGUGUUCUGAGCAGUUUAGAGCAUUUCUAUGUAACUGAUAGAAGGUUUUGAGUAAUUGCUGCAUGAUCAGGUAGUCUGCACUGCAAUAUUAAUAAUAAAAACAUGUAUUUUAUUUAAAGUGCAUUAAAGUUGUUGCCUUCAAUUUUUAAGAACAAUCAACUUAGCUGUAUUAGUCAUUUUAACAUAAGUUACAUUAUUCUGAUUCAAAUACAUGAGUUGAAUAUUGUAUAAAGUAUUUAGAAAAGUUGCUUGAUGAGACUUAUUUUGACAACAUCUAAAGAAAAAAACAUUAAAUAUGGCAUAUGGUCUUUAUAAAAAAACAAUAAAUGUACUUUUUAUAAAAAAUGUUGUCCUUGGGAAAAUAAAUAUUUAAGGUUU